rnacentral:rRNA from 1 species
CACGUAGGGUGCGAGCGUUGUCCGGAAUUAUUGGGCGUAAAGAGCUCGUAGGCGGUGUGUCGCGUCGGCCGUGAAAACCUGCAGCUUAACUGUGGGCGUGCGGUCGAUACGGGCAGACUAGAGUACUGCAGGGGAGACUGGAAUUCCUGGUGUAGCGGUGGAAUGCGCAGAUAUCAGGAGGAACACCGGUGGCGAAGGCGGGUCUCUGGGCAGUAACUGACGCUGAGGAGCGAAAGCGUGGGGAGCGAACAGG